rnacentral:rRNA from 1 species
UACAGAGGUCCCGAGCGUUGUUCGGAUUCACUGGGCGUAAAGGGUGCGUAGGUGGCGAGGUAAGUCGGAUGUGAAAGCUCGGAGCUCAACUCCGAAAUGGCAUUGGAAACUACCUUGCUCGAGGGUUGGAGGGGGGACUGGAAUACUUGGUGUAGAGGUGAAAUUCGUAGAUAUCAAGCGGAACACCGGUGGCGAAGGCGGCCUUCUGGACAGUGACUGACGCUGAGACGCGAAAGCGUGGGGAGCAAACAGG